rfam:Catabacter hongkongensis strain HKT16 2806ref_2ab_c10, whole genome shotgun sequence.
GAACGCCGUGUGCGGUGAAAGCCGCAUGCACGGUGUGAAGCGGGGGAAAAUCUGGAGAUGACUUCAAAGGAUUACCUAUCGUUAU